rnacentral:lncRNA from 1 species
CGACAGAGUGAGACUCCAUCUCAAAAAAGCAGACUUCGUUGUUCUGUAGCAACGUGCUACAGAAGAAAUGAUUGGGACUGGAACUAGGGCUGUGGCAGAGGAGAUGGACAUGGAGGUAAAAUAUGUCUCAGGAAGAAUUGUCAGGGGUUUUUAGGCUUGGGCAGUUAAUUGGCUGUGAAGCGUAGGGAAGAGGGAGGAAAGGGUGGACUAUUUCUUGUGUUUUUAGCUUUAGAAAGUGGGGAUGAGGCUGGGAUAAAGAAAACAAAAGGAGGUGAGUUUUGAGGAAUGUAGAACAUAAUAAGUUAAAUUUGGGACAAAAUCAUACCCCCACAAUCACCCUUAUUCCUUGUAUUCUUCAAAGCCCCAAAGAAAUGUCAUCUACUCCAGGAAUUCUUAAAUUGAGCAAAAAUAGACUAUGCUCAUCACCAACCUUAUAUACACCACACACCCACAAAAAUGACUUGUUAGGCACUUAUUAAGUGCCAGGCACUCUCUGCUAGAAGCUAGGGCUGAAAAGAUGGAUACUGAGGAAUCCUACCCUUAAGAAGCUCCCAGGCUAGUUCAC